rnacentral:rRNA from 1 species
GUAGUUAGCCGUGGCUUCCUCCUCAGGUACCGUCAUUAUCGUCCCUGAAGACAGAGCUUUACAACCCGAAGGCCGUCAUCACUCACGCGGCGUUGCUGCAUCAGGGUUUCCCCCAUUGUGCAAUAUUCCCCACUGCUGCCUCCCGUAGGAGUCUGGACCGUGUCUCAGUUCCAGUGUGGCCGAUCAGCCUCUCAGCUCGGCUACCCAUCGCAGGCUUGGUGGGCCGUUACCUCACCAACUACCUAAUGGGACGCGAACCCCUCUUAAAGCGGAUUGCUCCUUUGACCUCAUCCCGAUGCCGGGUCGUGGUCUUAUGCGGUAUUAGCACUUGUUUCCAGGUGUUAUCCCCCUCUUUAAGGCAGGUUGUUCACGCGUUACUCACCCGUUCGCCACUCAGUACAAAACCGAAAUUCUGUACUCCGUUCGACUUGCAUGUGUUAGGCACGCCGCCAGCGUUCGUCCUGAGCCAGGAUCAAACUCUGA